GGAGAGGUGGCCGAGCGGUUUAAGGCGCACGCCUGGAAAGCGUGUUUACAGCAAUGUAUCGAGGGUUCGAAUCCCUUCCUCUCCG
rnacentral:tRNA from 1 species